UUACAAAUGGAUGCCACGACAAAACUGCACCUGUGGAUAUUGUGACAAAUCACCGUCAAGUACGUUUCAAAUCAAUUAUAAACUGUUAAAUAUAUAUACCGUUAAUUCCGUUAACUUGAAUUCCACGUUUAUUCAACAAAUACGAACUGUAAUUGUUAUUUCUAUGAAUUGAACUGCAAAUUCUACUUUCGUUUUUGACUUGAUAUUCACGUUGCUUUGAACAUUCAUAUAUUUCCUUCGUGCAUAUUGUAAAAUAUUGUAUUUUUAUUUCUUUCAGUUUACCAAACAAGACACGCUCUGUAAAACUCCUGUAUCAUUUCUGGUGGAAUUAUAAUCUACAAUCUUCACCCACAAGUUGUUAUUCCUUAUAAUUAGCCGAGAUUGCGAUACAGUCCCUUGGUUAUACUAGCUGAGUCAGGCUCAGCAUAGCCUUUAUUACAUUUUGAAGAGGUUGACCAUUCAACGUAAAUAAAUGUUCAGUUUUACUUCCAUACUGUAGAGUACAUGACUUCUGACUGCUUAUUAUUUAGCGAUAUUUAUUUGCAUAAUCAGACAAGACAUUAAUCAUUGCUUGCAUCUCAUACGGG
rnacentral:lncRNA from 1 species